AGAGUUUGAUCCUGGCUCAGGAUGAACGCUGGCGGCGUGCUUAACACAUGCAAGUCGAACGGAAAUCAAAUGAUCGAGACUUCGGUUGAAGUUGUUGGAUUUUAGUGGCGGACGGGUGAGUAACGCGUGGGUAACCUGCCCUGUACAGGGGGAUAACACUUAGAAAUAGGUGCUAAAACCGCAUAAGCGCACAGUCUCGCAUGAGACAGUGUGAAAAACUCCGGUGGUACAGGAUGGACCCGCGUUGGAUUAGCUGGUUGGUGAGGUAACGGCCCACCAAGGCGACGAUCCAUAGCCGGCCUGAGAGGGUGAACGGCCACAUUGGGACUGAGACACGGCCCAAACUCCUACGGGAGGCAGCAGUGGGGAAUAUUGCACAAUGGGGGAAACCCUGAUGCAGCGACGCCGCGUGAAGGAAGAAGUAUCUCGGUAUGUAAACUUCUAUCAGCAGGGAAGAAAGUGACGGUACCUGACUAAGAAGCCCCGGCUAACUACGUGCCAGCAGCCGCGGUAAUACGUAGGGGGCAAGCGUUAUCCGGAUUUACUGGGUGUAAAGGGAGCGUAGACGGAGAGGCAAGUCUGAUGUGAAAGGCUGGGGCUCAACCCCGGGACUGCAUUGGGAACUGUUUUUCUUGAGUGCCGGAGGGGUAAGCGGAAUUCCUAGUGUAGCGGUGAAAUGCGUAGAUAUUAGGAGGAACACCAGUGGCGAAGGCGGCUUACUGGACGGCAACUGACGUUGAGGCUCGAAAGCGUGGGGAGCAAACAGGAUUAGAUACCCUGGUAGUCCACGCGGUAAACGAUGAAUACUAGGUGUCGGGUGGCGAAGCCAUUCGGUGCCGUCGCAAACGCAAUAAGUAUUCCACCUGGGGAGUACGUUCGCAAGAAUGAAACUCAAAGGAAUUGACGGGGACCCGCACAAGCGGUGGAGCAUGUGGUUUAAUUCGAUGAUACGCGAGGAACCUUACCAGGGCUUGACAUGAGGAGGAAUGUGCGUGAAAGCGUGCAGCUCUUCGGAGUCUCCCCACAGGUGCUGCAUGGCUGUCGUCAGCUCGUGUCGUAAGAUGUGAGAUUAAGUUCUUCAACGAGCGCAACCCCCACCGUCCGUUGCCACCAGGUGAAGCUGGGCACUCAGACGGAACUGCCGGUGACAAACCGGAGGAAGGCGGGGAUGACGUCAAGUCAUCAUGGCCCUUACGUCCUGGGCCACACACGUGCUACAAUGGCCGGUACAGAGCGAAGCUAUGCCGAGAGGCGGAGCGAACCGCAAAAAGCCGGUCUCAGUACGGACUGGGGUCUGCAACUCGACCCCACGAAGUUGGAAUCGCUAGUAAUCGCGCAUCAGCAUGGCGCGGUGAAUACGUUCCCGGGCCUUGCACACACCGCCCGUCA
rnacentral:rRNA from 1 species